UCCACCACCCUGGGACAUUUUAUCAUUCAGAGAGAGGAAGAGAUACCACAGCACCGGAGCUUCCUCUGGCAUCACAGCAGCUCCCGUAUGGUGCCAGGACUCAAACUUGUGCCCUCUCCCUGGCGCUUCUUCCUACAGAGCAGUAAACAGUGUCCCAGGGAUAGUCAAGGAGAAAGACUUGGAAGCCAGGAGGAGAAGGAGGAGAUUCAGAAGCCAGGUCUGCACCAUGCCUCAGGAGAAAAGCAUCUGAGAGGGAGGUUGUGCAGAACUGAAAGGUCAGGACUCAUCAGCUGCCCCCCGCCCCCCAAGACAGAGAAACAGACUCUCACAGCUUGUGAGCUUCCAAUCCUAAGGGAGGGGCACCUCUGCCAAGUUCCAGACCCAGCGGCAGACUCAGACACCGCUGCCACGCCUGUGGCCGAGACACCAUGGGGCCACCCUGAACCACCAGCCUGUGUGAAGACCAGUAAGAGCCAGACCUCACCUAGAGCUCACAGAGUGGGCUGGAGGGAGGGCAGAGACCGGCUUGUGAAUAGCUGA